UAGGGAAUCUUCCACAAUGGACGCAAGUCUGAUGGAGCAACGCCGCGUGAGUGAAGAAGGUUUUCGGACCGUAAAGCUCUGUUGUUGGUGAAGAAGGAUAGAGGUAGUAACUGGCCUUUAUUUGACGGUAAUCAACCAGAAAGUCACGGCUAACUACGUGCCAGCAGCCGCGGUAAUACGUAGGAGGCAAGCGUUGUCCGGAUUUAUUGGGCGUAAAGCGAGCGCAGGCGGAAGAAUAAGUCUGAUGUGAAAGCCCUCGGCUUAACCGAGGAAUUGCAUCGGAAACUGUUUUUCUUGAGUGCAGAAGAGGAGAGUAGAACUCCAUGUGUAGCGGUGGAAUGCGUAGAUAUAUGGAAGAAUACCAGUGGCGAAGGCGGCUCUCUGGUCUGCAACUGACGCUGAGGCUCGAAAGCAUGGGUAGCGAACAGGAUUAGAUACCCUGGUAGUCCAUGCCGUAAACGAUGAGUGCUAAGUGUUGGGAGGCUUCCGCCUCUCAGUGCUGCAGCUAACGCAUUAAGCACUCCGCCUGGGGGAGUACGACCGCAAGGUUGAAAC
rnacentral:rRNA from 1 species